AGGGUCUUUCUUUUGGGCCAUAUGUGUGGAAAUUAAGCUGGAAUAAUUUUAUAGUUAUUCCUAUGAAUAAAACAAUAAAAGAAAAAAACGAUCUAUGUGUUUCUUUUUUUUUUUUAAUUAAGUUAUUAAAGUAGGUUCAUGUUGAUCAUAUAUCUCUUUUCUUUUUUCUUUUAAUGAAUUAAAAUAAUAGGUAUGGUAUGUUUCUAUAAAGAUAUUUUUAGAUUGGUGUUUUCUUUGUUAAAUGUUUCACCUUUUUUCUCUUUUUUAGGUUGCUGUAAAGUAAAAUUGAACAAUAUCUUGGUGAUGAUUAGGUUGCAAAUAUCUUUAUGUCUCCAA